UGGGCACAUUAGGCCUGAUGGGACCUGCCUGUUAUGGCUGGAUAACUUUUGUAAAUAAUGGCUAUAACCGCUAAUAACGACAAGUAGUAAAAGUUUGGUUUCAUUGGCGAAUUGGAUCACUUCCAUAGGUACCGGGUUUAGUUUAUUUGUGUGGUGGAGGUGCGGGUCCCAACCUCACCUAGAUGGCCCUACAUAGUGACAGUCAUCAGCGGCAUUGGGACUGAGACACGUCCCAUACGGCAGGGAGACGUGGCGAAUGGGGCUCUUCGGAAGCGGCCGUGACGCUGACCGAUCAACCGCGUGUGAGUGACUUCGUUUUCGGAUUUCUUUCUCUGUUGAGGUAGGAUUCAAGUGAGAGAGUGAGUGAACUCAGUGUCACCGUAUCUUACCAUAACGUCACGGCUGCUACGUGCCAGCACCUGCCGAAUCCGUAGGUCCCGACGGUUUUCCUGAUUUUUUGGGGUUUAUAGGAGCGUAAUCGAAUAAAUAGCGCUAAACAUUAAACUCUGUGUGUUAACCGUACUUCCCUCUGAAUCCUGUUUUAACUUUCUGUGCAAGAGGAAAAAGCGAAAGUGCAAUGUGUAACUGCGUAAUUGCCCUGAUAUAUGGGAGGAACGCCUGUGGGGACCCCCGGCUUUUCUGACUGUGUAACUGACGCUGACGCUCGAAGGCGAAGACCCAGAAAACAUGAUUAGAUACCCCUGCUUAUCCCACGCC
rnacentral:rRNA from 1 species